rnacentral:rRNA from 1 species
CCUGGCGGCCGUAGCGCGGGCGCGACCCUAGGGGAAUGGCUCAGAAGUGAAACGCCGUAGCGCCGAUGGUAGUGUGGGGUCUCCCCAUGUGAGAGUAGGGAACCGCCAGGU